CCAGAUUAAGCCACAGUAACCCCUGGAGACAAGUUCAAUCAGGCUGUAAUUGGAAGAACAGGUUGGCACAGGUGACUGUGUGCCUGUCCAGAGGAGUCCUGGCACCCCCAGAGAUGGGUGGCCAGCAAAGAGAGUGGGUGCCAAGCCCCACAGGGCUGCUCUCCACGACGGAGGAGUCUGAGCUGGCGUCACCAUCAGCUGGUACAAAUACUGUUGAUGGAGGCCACAGCGGGGUCAACGAGCCCCAGCUCCUCCUGCUCAUUGACACAGAGCUGGUACCCACAUCCCUUGCGCCGGGGCAGGGGCCCCAGGCGCCGACUGGGCUUGGCACGGGGUGGCAGCAGGAAGCCGACGCUGCCAGCAAUGAGCAGGUGCCAGAUGCUGUGGAUGUAGAAGUAGUUCUCCUCUGUCUCCACGAAGGCGUAGAGCAGCACGGCCGCCGCUGCAAUCAGCGCUCCCGGGCACAGGUAGAAAGCCCAGCGCUUCCAGGUCGGAGGGUAGCAGUGGCGGCGACGGAUGGUGCGAGCCGUCUGUUGGGGAAAGGACAGGCUGGAACAGGACCCACAGCAGGGACAGGGAUGACCUCUGUGCCACGGUGACUCACCCCUCAGGAGCCAGGGAGCGGGGUUCAUGGGGAAGGGUGAGGGCAGAAGAGGGGAGGUGCUCGUGGGGUCAGGAUGCUGAGCGCAGCCAGGAUGGGGACAUAAAGGGACAUCAUCUUACCCAGGCGACGGCCAUUAUCCCCAAAGCGAAAAGGCUGGGCCCCAGAAGGUUCCAGAGCCCGUGACGGUCCAUCUGUAGAGCCAUGGACAGGAGCAUGGCCCCCAGCAGGUACAGCACCUGUGGGGCAAUGGGGCACCCAUCAAGAUGAAUCUCUUCCAUGCCUGCCCUGCAUGCUCCCUCCCCACACUUGCCUGCUUGACUAUGGGCUGGAGCCGGGCCAUGGCGAUGACAGUGACCCAGACAGACAUGAGAGAGCCCAAGAAGUCACAAAACUGCAGCACAUCAUACUCCAUGAUGCAGAACACCACAAUGCCCGGCUGGUCGCAGGCAUGGUAAAACUGGGGUNNNNNNNNNNNNNNNNNNNNGACCAGGGAGAGCUGCCAUCACCACUGCAGCACUCACAGGGUCUGGGGGGGUGAGCAGGGAACCCCCUUUCCAGCACCCUGCAGAGACCUGGCACGAAUGGACUACUGGGACACAAGUGGUAUCCAAGGGGAAGGGGAAGGAUGCAGGGGUCCGCGGGUGCCGGGCUCAGCUCUCACCAGCCUUGCACUCGCAGGCAGCAUACAGGUAGUUGUUGGUGCGCAGCAGCUUGCACUGGCCGUAGAUGCCGCAGUCAUUGAUGCAGGGUGAGAGGUAGGCGCGCAGGUACACCUCAGCUGUCACGUUGGUGCAGGGCUCAAACCUGCAUGGUGGGAGAAAGGGGUCAGUCCUCACCCUGUGCCCUUGAAGAGCUCCUGCCUCUACCAGAGCCACCUGUCU
rnacentral:lncRNA from 1 species